rnacentral:rRNA from 1 species
AAUGGCAUCGUUUUAAAGUUAAAGAUUUAUCGGUAGAAGAUGACUAUGCGUCCUAUUAGCUAGAUGGUAAGGUAACGGCUUACCAUGGCAACGAUAGGUAGGGGUCCUGAGAGGGAGAUCCCCCACACUGGUACUGAGACACGGACCAGACUCCUACGGGAGGCAGCAGUGAGGAAUAUUGGGCAAUGGAGGCAACUCUGACCCAGCCAUGCCGCGUGCAGGAAGACUGCCCUAUGGGUUGUAAACUGCUUUUAUACAGGAAGAAACGUACCUACGAGUAGGUAUUUGACGGUACUGUAAGAAUAAGGACCGGCUAACUCCGUGCCAGCAGCCGCGGUAAUACGGAGGGUCCGAGCGUUAUCCGGAAUCAUUGGGUUUAAAGGGUCCGCAGGCGGUCGAUUAAGUCAGAGGUGAAAUCCCAUAGCUUAACUAUGGAACUGCCUUUGAUACUGGUUGACUUGAGUGAUACGGAAGUAGAUAGAAUAUGUAGUGUAGCGGUGAAAUGCAUAGAUAUUACAUAGAAUACCGAUUGCGAAGGCAGUCUACUACGUAUUUACUGACGCUCAUGGACGAAAGCGUGGGGAGCGAACAGGAUUAGAUACCCUGGUAAUCCACGCCGUAAACGAUGGACACUAGUUGUUGGGAAUUAUCUCAGUGACUAAGCGAAAGUGAUAAGUGUCCCACCUGGGGAGUACGAUCGCAAGAUUGAAACUCAAAGGAAUUGACGGGGGCCCGCACAAGCGGUGGAGCAUGUGGUUUAAUUCGAUGAUACGCGAGGAACCUUACCAGGGCUUAAAUGUGGAAUGACAGGGCUAGAGAUAGCUUUUUCUUCGGACAUUUCACAAGGUGCUGCAUGGUUGUCGUCAGCUCGUGCCGUGAGGUGUCAGGUUAAGUCCUAUAACGAGCGCAACCCCUAUUGUUAGUUGCUAGCAGGUAAAGCUGAGGACUCUAGCGAGACUGCCGGUGCAAACCGCGAGGAAGGUGGGGAUGACGUCAAAUCAUCACGGCCCUUACGUCCUGGGCUACACACGUGCUACAAUGGUAUGGACAAUGAGCAGCCAUCUGGCAACAGAGAGCG